rnacentral:rRNA from 1 species
UGAGGAAUAUUGGUCAAUGGGCGAGAGCCUGAACCAGCCAAGUAGCGUGCAGGAUGACGGCCCUAUGGGUUGUAAACUGCUUUUAUAUGGGAAUAAAGUGAGGGACGUGUCCCUUAUUGCAUGUACCAUAUGAAUAAGGACCGGCUAAUUCCGUGCCAGCAGCCGCGGUAAUACGGAAGGUCCAGGCGUUAUCCGGAUUUAUUGGGUUUAAAGGGAGCGUAGGCUGUUUGUUAAGCGUGUUGUGAAAUGUAAGAGCUCAACUUUUAGAUUGCAGCGCGAACUGGCAGACUUGAGUGCGCACAACGUAGGCGGAAUUCAUGGUGUAGCGGUGAAAUGCUUAGAUAUCAUGACGAACUCCGAUUGCGAAGGCAGCUUACGGGAGCGCAACUGACACUAAAGCUCGAAGGUGCGGGUAUCGAACAGG